rnacentral:rRNA from 1 species
UGAGGAAUAUUGGUCAAUGGGCGGGAGCCUGAACCAGCCAAGCCGCGUGAGGGAUGAAGGCCCUAUGGGUCGCAAACCUCUUUUGUCAGGGAACAAAAGCGAGUAUGUAUACUAGUCUGAGUGUACCUGAAGAAAAAGCAUCGGCUAACUCCGUGCCAGCAGCCGCGGUAAUACGGAGGAUGCGAGCGUUAUCCGGAUUUAUUGGGUUUAAAGGGUGCGUAGGCGGCGGUGCAAGUCAGCGGUAAAAGCCCGGGGCUCAACCCCGGCGAGCCGUUGAAACUGCAGUGCUAGAGAAGGCGAGAGGUACGCGGAAUGCGCAGUGUAGCGGUGAAAUGCUUAGAUAUUGCGCAGAACUCCGAUUGCGAAGGCAGCGUACUGGCGCCUGACUGACGCUGAGGCACGAAAGCGUGGGGAUCGAACAGGAUUAGAUACC